CAGUAGCCACGGGAAUACGUAGGUGGCAAGCGUUGUCCGGAAUUAUUGGGCGUAAAGGGCUCGCAGGCGGUUUAUUAAGUCUGAUGUGAAAGCCCCCGGCUCAACCGGGGAGGGUCAUUGGAAACUGGGAAACUUGAGUGCAGAAGAGGAGAGUGGAAUUCCACGUGUAGCGGUGAAAUGCGUAGAGAUGUGGAGGAACACCAGUGGCGAAGGCGACUCUCUGGUCUGUAACUGACGCUGAGGAGCGAAAGCGUGGGGAGCGAACAGGAUUAGAUACCCGAGUAGUCCCUGUCUCUUAUAC
rnacentral:rRNA from 1 species